rnacentral:rRNA from 1 species
GACGAACGCUGGCGGCGUGCCUAAUACAUGCAAGUCGAGCGAAGUUUUUCUGGUGCUUGCACUAGAAAAACUUAGCGGCGAACGGGUGAGUAACACGUAAAGAACCUGCCUCAUAGACGGGGACAACUAUUGGAAACGAUAGCUAAUACCGGAUAACAGCAUAAAUCGCAUGAUAUAUGUUUAAAAGUUGGUUUCGGCUAACACUAUGAGAUGGCUUUGCGGUGCAUUAGCUAGUUGGUGGGGUAAAGGCCUACCAAGGCGACGAUGCAUAGCCGACCUGAGAGGGUGAUCGGCCACACUGGGACUGAGACACGGCCCAGACUCCUACGGGAGGCAGCAGUAGGGAAUCUUCCGCAAUGGGCGAAAGCCUGACGGAGCAACGCCGCGUGAGUGAAGAAGGAUUUCGGUUCGUAAAGC